CCCUCUUCCAAUCACUUGGCAGUGAGAAAAAUUACCUUCGCAUCCAGGAAGAGGGAUUGACUGGGGAUGCAUCAUCAGUUGAUGUCGCAACCACGGAAAAUAUGGAGACUCUAGUCCAGAUUGGCAACAGCCUGCUGAAGAAGCCAGUGUCGAGGGUGAAUUUGGAGACCGGAAGAUCUGAGGCUGUUCAAGGAGAGGGCACCAACGAAGAAGCUCUUACACAAUUUGCCAAGCUGCUUUCGGAUGAAAGGAAGCUCCGACUAGCCAACUGACGAUUCUCGUCUUAGAAUGUUUUAUUAGCAUUUUUUUUGGUUUUGUUUUGUUGGCAUUUUACUAGCAUCCAAAGGAUUAAUAUCCUUUUCUCGCCGGGCUAAAAAAUUCCAAGCAUUCAUUUCUCUCUCAGAUGGUUGAGAGAUCAUUAAUUGCUCGAUUCUCACGCAUGUCAAAACAUUUUAUUUUUCA